rnacentral:rRNA from 1 species
UACGUAGGGUGCAAGCGUUAAUCGGAAUUACUGGGCGUAAAGCGUGCGCAGGCGGUUUUGUAAGUCAGAUGUGAAAUCCCCGGGCUUAACCUGGGAACUGCGUUUGAAACUACAAGGCUAGAGUGUGGCAGAGGGGGAUGGAAUUCCGCGUGUAGCAGUGAAAUGCGUAGAUAUGCGGAGGAACACCGAUGGCGAAGGCAAUCCCCUGGACCUGUACUGACGCUCAUGCACGAAAGCGUGGGGAGCAAACAGG